rnacentral:rRNA from 1 species
UGCCAGCCGCCGCGGUAAUACGAAGGUCCCAAGCGUUGUUCGGAAUCAUUGGGUUUAAAGGGUCCGUAGGUGGAUAAUUAAGUCAGGGGUGAAAUCUUGCAGCUCAACUGUAAAAUUGCCUUUGAUACUGGUUAUCUUGAGUCAUUAUGAAGUAGUUAGAAUAUGUAGUGUAGCGGUGAAAUGCAUAGAUAUUACAUAGAAUACCAAUUGCGAAGGCAGAUUACUAAUAAUGUACUGACACUGAUGGACGAAAGCGUGGGUAGCGAACAGGAUUAGAUA